CUAGCACAUCUUGCAUCCGCGACUUAGACCGCGACUCGAGUCGCCAUUCCCGCGGCUGUCAAAUCUGUCGAUUUCCGUAGCAUAACUUGUACCCGCGACUGCAACAGCCGCGUAGAGAACUCAAAGUCGCGGCGCGACUCGUCAGUGUUACCCGGCGAAAUCAAAGUCUAAACAAAUCGAUAUUUGCAAGUGGCAACACUGAAUCGGAAACCAGGGAUGCGCUAAAUCAUUCGUUCUUUGGUGGUAAAAAAUCUAGUUUUUUGUCGAUGGUUAAGAUUUUCCUGUCAAAGUCAAGGAACUUUCAAAUUUUGUCAACAUUUAAUUACGGGAAAAAAUAUGAAAAAAUUUAAGUAAUAGAGCCUUAUAUACUUAAUAUUGAUAAUAUUCCUUAAAAUAUAUAUUGUUUAAAAAUUUCUGUUUAAUAAACCUUUUUUAAUAAAAUAUUUUUAAUAAGUUCAGCAUUAUCCUAGACACGAUUGAUAUCCCAGCACCCAAAGGAAAAUAUUAUUAACAGGAACCUGCCAACGGGACCCGAAGUGGAGAUUCAGGAAAAGAAACACACUAGGCAAGCUUGGUGAUAUUUAAUUGUCCUACGCCGCAUGUCGAAGAAAAAGGAAGAGAGAAAAUACUUUUCAAGGGUAAUAAAGAAGAUUCUUACAAUUUCUCUAUAGUGGUUCUAGAUGUUAAUAUAUAUUAGGUUUAAUAAUAAGAAGUCGAAUAUUGCAAGAAUAUAUAAGGCAAAGCAAUAUACUAUUAAUUGAAAUAUUGUUUUUUUUUCUCUCCUGUAUUUUUACCUGAAAAGAAACAAAAAUAAAGUAGGUAGGUAAGUACCUAGAACUCCUAGAAGCCAUUAUUAAUUA